UACGGAGGGUGCGAGCGUUGUCCGGAAUCACUGGGCGUAAAGGGCGCGUAGGUGGCUUAGCAAGCGUGUGGUGAAAGCCCGGGGCUUAACCCCGGGUCUGCCAUGCGAACUACUAUGGCUAGAGUACUGUAGAGGCAGGUUGAAUUCCGGGUGUAGCGGUGGAAUGCGUAGAGAUCCGGAAGAAUACCGGUGGCGAAGGCGGCCUGCUGGGCAGUUACUGACACUGAGGCGCGACAGCGUGGGGAGCAAA
rnacentral:rRNA from 1 species